CAGAGUUUUUGCCAUACUUGUAAAUCCCAGAGAGCAGAAGGAAGUUAAUUUCCUCAAACAUGUUGAUAUUAUGGGAUGUACAGUAUGUCCUUGAUGUUAACACUGUGGGCCGGCGAGUGUAAAUGGGCUCUUCUCUUAAUGCAGAGAAGAUGACGUUGAUGAUUGGAGCAGUCGUGACUGUGGGAGUCGUCUUGCUCGGAUUGACACUUCUCUUUACUAAACGCAGGAUUGAAAAUUGUGCUUCCAAGAGACCAAAAGUAAACGUCACUGCUUUGCAGGGUGGUUAUGAUGAAACCUACAGUAUCGUCACCUAUGAAUGCAACACUGAGUGACAACAGCAGCACCUCCGAGAAGCUACAUCAGCCCUGAGAGAGACCGUGUACAGCCCUCUAAAGUCAAUUUGAAAUUCAAACGUUGUUUUUCUUGCAUCUUUUUCUUACUUAUGUACAAGUUAAUUGAUCUUAACAGUAUUUACAUCAUUACCCACAAGAGCAGACGUUAGAAUGGUGAUAUGGCUCAGUUGAACUUUAUUGAAUUGAUAGUUUGGUCAGAACAUAACAUGUAUCAAUGCUUUGAAUAAUAAAAUCCAUGUACACA